rnacentral:lncRNA from 1 species
UUUAUUUACAAGCCUUAUUUAUCGCACCAUAUUGUUUUAAACUACUUUUCCGUAAUGUAUACUUCUAAGCUUCGAACUUAUGUUUUCAUGUUUGUCAUAAGCAUGUCCAGCUAACUUAUAGAUGUUACAAUUUGAGGACCAUGACUUGACGACACUUUAAUUGUUGUUUCUUUAAGAUUUUGAUUGUGGCCUAUUUUGGUUUUAAUACAAUCUUUCUGAAUUUAGUUUAAUCAGUUAUUACGAAAGUUGAGCCGUGAAAAUGU